rnacentral:tRNA from 1 species
GCCGGCCUAGCUCAAUUGGUAGAGCAACUGACUUGUAAUCAUUAGGUUGGGGGUUCAAGUCCUCUGGCCGGCACCA